ensembl:lncRNA
CACAUGUGUCCGCCAUCCCCAGUGCUUCUGGGUAUUUUGCAGGGUGCCCAGAUGUGCUGCUAGGAUGGUGGUUCCACCCCUGCCUGCCCGUUCCCAAGGCACUUCUCACUGCCAGUGGGGUCUGUGGCACGUGUGACUCUUCCAUUUGCCAGCACUGCAAAGCAGUGCGCUGCUGUUGUUCUUAGGGCAUUUCUCUGCCCCUUUUUGCUGUCCUUGCUGUACAGCAGCGAGGCUUUGCUGGGCGCUGUCAUCCUGCUGCCUAGAGUGACAGUUCACUAGGCAAGCAGCUUCCCAGCUCCCAAAGCUCUGUGCGUUCUUUUAGCGUGCCAUCCCACGUGGCAGUCCAGCAGAGUGUGUUCCUUUCCCGGCCUGGGAACACUUCUUGUGCUGCAACCACCGUGAGCAAUUUACAAAGUCCUGCUUUUGGGUCCUUCCUUCCCCACAUCUCUGCUGGGAACUGCUGGUGCCCCCAUCCCACCACGGGAGCCCUGGGCUGGGAACACAGCAGUGCCUGCUGCUGGGGAGGUAACACUGCGAACCAGCCUGCGCAUCUUGCAGCCUCUACAAUAUUGCCAAACCUUGUAACACAGAACCAGAUCCCUUUCCAAACCAGCCCCUUGCAGCCCUUCCUUCCUCUCCAAACUGCACCAAUCUCCAGCCAGAGCGAGCCUUGGGUCUGCCCUGCUUCACCCACCUCGUCGCUUCUGUCCCUGCCUCGCAUCUCCCCGCAGCGGUGUUCGGACGCCUCGCCUCUCUCCCGCUGGCUGAGAGCAGCGUGGAUUUCCUUCCAGCGUGACGGUUGGGGUCACUCUUUCACAACGAGCGCUUUCCUCCCGGUACGAUCAGCUCAGCGUCGCGUCCCGCUGACGCCCAACCAGGAUUUCAAGCUUUUGGGACUGCCUUCCCUGGAAAAAAUUAGCGACAUGUUUGAUUUUAAAUAGCGGAAGCGUGCGGGAAUAAGCUUUUCUGUGUGGGUUCGGAAGUUUGCUAAAACACUCAAUGAGCUGC